UACGUAGGGUGCUAGCGUUGUCCGGAUUUAUUGGGCGUAAAGGGUGCGUAGGCGGCAUGAUAAGUUAUUGGCGGCAAAUCGAGGCUCAACCUCGUGGAAACUGAUAAUACUGUCUUGCUUGAGUGCAGAAGAGGUUAACGGAACUCCAUGUGGAGCGGUAAAAUGUGUAGAUAUAUGGAAGAACAUCAAUAACGGCGAAGGCAGUUAACUAUUCUGUUACUGACGUUGAGGCACGAAAGCGUGGGGAGCAAAAAGG
rnacentral:rRNA from 1 species